rnacentral:rRNA from 1 species
UGUCCGGAUUUACUGGGUGUAAAGGGUGCGUAGGCGGCUUUGCAAGUCAGAUGUGAAAUCUAUGGGCUCAACCCAUAAACUGCAUUUGAAACUGUAGAGCUUGAGUGAAGUAGAGGCAGGCGGAAUUCCCCGUGUAGCGGUGAAAUGCGUAGAGAUGGGGAGGAACACCAGUGGCGAAGGCGGCCUGCUGGGCUUUAACUGACGCUGAGGCACGAAAGCGUGGGUAGCAAACAGGAUUAGAUACCCUGGUAGUCCACGCUGUAACACGAUGAUUACUAGGUGUGGGGGGU